rnacentral:lncRNA from 12 species
AUGCAAAUGAAGCAUCACUUUGCUCAUGUAGUGAGCUUGGCAGAAAAACAUUCGGGGAACAAAGCGGGCUGGGUGCGUGAGGCAUGUGGGCGAGAGAGUGAGCUGAUCCAAACAGAGGGGCCGGGCCCAGAAGGGGCAGCCAUGUGUCCCGCCGUCGGCAGAUGGGGACAGGCCCGGCCUUCCCAGCAGGCGAAGCAGGUGAAGCUCCAGACUGAGCAGCUGUGUACCAGGAAAGGACAUUCAGAGCAAGGCAGCCUCUACCCAGACCACUGGGAGUUUUCAUCAAAGGGAAAGAAGACAAGGCACAGCGCAGGGGCUGGUUCUCAAGGCUUCCACACAAAGCUGACCCAAUCAUUCUGCUCACGUUUCACAGGCUGGAACAGGUCUCCUGGAGACCUAAGCAUUCAAGAAAUAGGAAAAUGGGGCAGCCGGGGUGGCCCAGUGGUUUAGCGAUGCCUUCAGCCCAGGACCUGAUCCUGGAGACCCGGGAUCGAGUCCCACCUCGGGCUCCCUGCAUGGAGCCUGCUUCUCCCUCUCCUGUGCCUCUGCCUCUCUCUCUGUGUCUCUCAUGAAUAAAUAAAUAAAAUAUUAAAAAAAAAAGAAAUAA